CUCUCGGCAACGGAUAUCUCGGCUCUCGCAUCGAUGAAGAACGUAGCGAAAUGCGAUACCUGGUGUGAAUUGCAGAAUCCCGCGAACCAUCGAGUCUUUGAACGCAAGUUGCGCCCGAGGCCUUUUGGCCGAGGGCACGCCUGCCUGGGCGUCACGCAAAACA
rnacentral:rRNA from 3 species